GGUCCCAUGGCGCAAUCGGUUAGCGCGUCGUACUAAUAAUGCGAAGGCUCUGAGUUCGACCCUCAGUGGGACCA